rnacentral:rRNA from 1 species
UACAGAGGUCUCAAGCGUUUGUUCGGAUUCAUUGGGCGUAAGGGUGCGUAGGCGGCGCGGUAAGUCGGGUGUGAAAUCUCGGAGCUUAACUCCGAAACUGCAUUCGAUACUGCCGUGCUUGAGGACUGGAGAGGAGACUGGAAUUUACGGUGUAGCGGUGAAAUGCGUAGAUAUCGUAAGGAAGACCAGUGGCGAAGGCGGGUCUCUGGACAGUUCCUGACGCUGAGGCACGAAGGUCAGGGGAGCAAACGGG